UUCCUUUAAUGCAUCCAAAGCUCGAAUUGGAUCGGAUCAUUACGCAGGCUCCCUUUCCGUGUUUUCAGCCGUCAUUUGUUAUGGACAGUGGAAAGGGAGGACAGCGCCCUAGCGCCCUCUAUUGACCACUGCUGGCUUGGGGGUAUUCCAAAAAGCUGGUUAUGUGACCCAGUUUGAUUGACGUGAGGUGUGCUGUCAUGGAUCUACAUGUAACCAAGCAGUACAAACACUUUCAAAGUUGUUUGUCUGAAAAGUGUCAACAUAUUUGUUACAUGCCCUUAAUUUGUUCACUGGAGACAACAGACAGGUAUUCCCAUUGGUAUGCUAAUAGGACACCAAACAUGGGAAGAUUGCCACAGAGGAAUUCAGUGACAAUGCCAAUUAAUGCAUAUACUGACACCCAUAAACACACUGAACAACUCUUGAGACUUGAUGUCACACCCUGUGUCACAUUAACAUUAAUUCUUGUUGUUACAAACUUUAAGUGUUAUUUAUUAUUUGUUCAAUACUCAUCUAUUGGGUUAAUAUUAUAUACAGAGUCACAUUUUAUUUUUUAAUCUGUUUUAAGAUACAUACAUUUUAUUAAUGUUAAUCUGAAACCAGUAGUUCAAAGCAUCAUGUAGGCUACAAAUUUAUUGCAUGAAUAAACCAUAUAGAGUCUCAGUGGUGCCAAAGUCCUAAUAGACUAAUAAUUGAAUAAUAGGUUUUGCCUUUAAUGGCCCUGUUGGGAACAGACUAAACAAAAAACAAUUUUGCUAAUUUAGUGUUUAUUAUCGUCAAUUAACAUAUUCAAUUUU